CCGCGCCGGGCCGCGCCCGCCCCGCCGCGCCGCACUCGGCCGACGGGCUGCUGGCGCUGGCGCUGCGCCGCCUGGCCGAGACGGGCCACGCGGGCCUGCCCUACCGGAAGUACUUCGUGGUCGAGGUGGCGGGGCUGGAGGCCGACGUGCUGCCGCACCUGACGCGGUUGCGGCGCUACGUGCUGCCGGCCGGCGCCGAGCUGCUGCUGCGCGACGUGAGCGGGGCGGGCGCGGGGGGCGCGGAGGCGCUGGCGGAGCUGGCGGCGGCGGCGGCCGAGCUGCUGCGCUUCGUGCGCGAGCAGCCGGACUGCGUGUCGGAGCUGUUCCAAGUGUGCUGAGCGUCAGCCAGCUCGCGACACGUCCCGCCCUCGUGGAAGUUGUGUUUCGAUUUCCUUUAGCGAUGUGACCUGUGACGGGACCGACGUUCUCGGUAAAGUCGUAAUGUUAAUGUUGGUCGUUAACUGACUGACUCCUCUCGGUUCACAUAUGUUUUUCCUUGAAUUUGACGCAAAGAUGAAGUAGAAUAUCUAACUCAUCUGUAACUCAUGACACCAAAAUACCAAUAAAAUUAGUCGUCAAAGUUUAGAGAGGGCGCGGUGCUUAUAUGAAUUGUACUUAUAAAAUAAAAUAUAGGAUAUGUGGCCUCCGCUCUCCGGCUGAUAAUAUAAUAUGUAUCGAUGCAAUAAAUGUAAAAAGUAACAGUCCGUAAGUUGCUGUUCUGGAAAAUAGUCAUAAGACUGAAGUGAUUCACUUGAUACAUUUCAUUUAGUUUGUCGCUUCGUUUUUGCUUCGUUUUAUUUUGUCUUUUGCGAUAUGUUUGUAUCGAACAAACAUCAUAGUCGCCGCAUCCAUUUUAGGAAUGCUUAUACGCGUGUAAUUCGGUAGUUAAAUACGGUACGAUCGUCGGUUAGUCGUCCGUACAUAAGUGCGCUGAACAAAGAAACCUCGAUCCCACAGGUUGAGUCCAGGUGACUGUUCGUAGAGACAUAUAUACAUGGACAUACAUGAUCCAAAAUAUAGUUGAAUAACCAACUUUUGUCCUAUGUCUAAUGUCAUAACGUAAUUUCGAUAAUGGAAAUGGACUUCUUCAUAAUAAUAUUAGAUUUCUGCGGAGCGCAGGGUCGACAGCUCCGCUCCGUCCGCAGGCAAAAGGUUACAAUUUUGACCUCGAGUUUACACGACGAGAGAUUGAGUAGUCAGAGUAAAUUAUUGAAUUAAUGAUUCAAUCAAUGAAUGAUUUUGAACAAACUAUCGAUUUUUACUAUUUUUUUACACAUUAAUUAUGUCAUAUUAAAUGUGUACGUAAACUUUUAUACCCUGUCCAACUAGUUUACGGUUUGACGGGCGGCACUAGUGGUUGCGGCAACGUGACGUUUCGGAUAUCGUUUCGAUUAUUGGCUCUGACUGAUAUUCAGUAUCGAUUAUUAAUUUCUGACGUCGAAUAAAAAAAAUCUUGUAUGCUUAAAUUUCAUUUUUUGUCGAAGGUUUCUAUUUAUUGUGUUUAUUGAAUAAAAAU